rnacentral:rRNA from 1 species
UACGUAGGGGGCGAGCGUUGUCCGGAUUCAUUGGGCGUAAAGCGCUUUAAGGCGGUUCGCUAAGUCGGGUGUGAAACCUCCAGGCUCAACCUGGAGACGCCACUCGAUACUGGCGUGACUAGAGUCCGGUAGGGGACCACGGAAUUCCUGGUGUAGCGGUGAAAUGCGCAGAUAUCAGGAGGAACACCAGUGGCGAAGGCGGUGGUCUGGGCCGAUACUGACGCUGAGGAGCGAAAGCGUGGGGAGCGAACAGG